rnacentral:rRNA from 1 species
UGGGGAAUUUUGGACAAUGGGCGCAAGCCUGAUCCAGCAAUGCCGCGUGCAGGAUGAAGGCCUUCGGGUUGUAAACUGCUUUUGUACGGAGCGAAACGGCUCUACCUAAUACGUAGGGCUAAUGACGGUACCGUAAGAAUAAGCACCGGCUAACUACGUGCCAGCAGCCGCGGUAAUACGUAGGGUGCGAGCGUUAAUCGGAAUUACUGGGCGUAAAGCGUGCGCAGGCGGUCUUGUAAGACAGAUGUGAAAUCCCCGGGCUCAACCUGGGACCUGCAUUUGUGACUGCAAGGCUGGAGUGCGGCAGAGGGGGAUGGAAUUCCGCGUGUAGCAGUGAAAUGCGUAGAUAUGCGGAGGAACACCGAUGGCGAAGGCAAUCCCCUGGGCCUGCACUGACGCUCAUGCACGAAAGCGUGGGGAGCAAACAGGAUUAGAUACCCAAGUAGUCCCUGAGCGGGCUGGCAAGGCGCAU